GGCUGAGUUGGCAGCCAAGGAGAACUCGCCAACCUCGCUGUGCUGCCAAGACCUGACUUGACACUACUGCUCCCCUUUGCCCGUUACCCGUGAAAGCUUUGCUCCACAGCGCCCCCUGCAGGGGGCUGGCAGGGCAGCUGGCUGCCUGCCCUUGGCCCGUUCCUUGGCUGCCCCGGCUUCUGCACUUACCCUUGGUCCUGGACCAACUCCAAGAAUUCAGUGACUUUACACUGGCUUUUCUUAGAGCCUCUUGGAGACAACAUCCUAAGAUACUGCAGACCCUGUGUUUUGUUUUUGGUUUUGAAGGCCCUCUGAGGGCCCUCAAAUGGACCCUGAGGAAAUGGAUACCUGAGCAGGACAAGGACCUUGGAGUCACAGAGGUUCUCGAUAAUUAGAGAAAGGGGCCUGAUGAUACUGGGGGUGCACAGAUCACAUUUAGGUCCUUGAGGGUCAAUGGAGGCCUCUCUUCUGUCGUGCCCAAGUCUGGGCCUCUGCAGAGAGACCUCCAUGCCCAGAAAUCAGAAGUCAGAUUGAACAAGAAAUCCCAGCCUUUCUAGGUGAGCUCCUGCCCCCAAAAUGCUGUCUCCAGCUCACACAGCACCACAGGAGGUUUCCCGCCACUGAAGAGGAGGAGGGGGCCAGCCUCAUUCCUCUCCCGGCUGCCCCUCCGGAGCUCAAAGACAGUGAGUGAGGAGGGACCCUGGUCUCCCUCUUUGGCUACAGAGGUUUCCCAGAGGAAGAUCUGGAGUGAAAAGGCAGCAGAUGCAACACAAGGGCAGAAACUCACCUCCAAGAAUGGCUCCCUCGCAUCCACAGUACUGGCCCCUUCGAUGCAAGUUUCCUCUGCUGCCAUGCAGGCGAGGGGAGCCUCUGACGCUGUACCUCCCUCCCAGCUGGGGUUCCGACUCACGGCUGAAGACCUGGACCUGGAGAAGGAAACAGUGCUGCUAUGCAUCAAAAGUGCAUUGUGGGGUGAGGCCAAGGCCAUCCGGGACUGGGGAGCCUUGCAGCCUUCCCAUAUUUUGCCACCACCUGCGGCAGCAAUGGCUCCUCUGCCCACUGCCUCUCCAGACCCCCUCCACCCUCUGGGACUAAUGCACAGGAGGAGGGACGCAGGACGCAAGACUGCCCAGGCCCAGUAGCCCUCCUGGAAUCUGCUGCAGUGGCUACCUCUAUGCCUCCUGUGUCUGGGAGGAAGCACAGCUCACCAGGGCCCCUGUUCUCCCCCUUAGAGCUCCAUCCAGUCACCUCUUCAUACUUCCUGGUCUCAGCCUUGCUGACCCUGCUCCCUCCUCAUCAUCAGGCAGAUACAGAGCACUGCAGCAAAAAAGAGAGGGGUCCCAAGCACCACACACUUCGUGGGGGAAGCUUGGGCCUGAACAGCAGUAGUCCCUGUAGCCAGAGCACCCAAACCAUGGGACCCAGCGCCAGGAAUAAUUGUUCGCAGGCACUGUUGCCCAUGCUUUUUAAGCCACAUCCCUAGAGGGCUACCCAAGCAGAAACCCCACAUUUCAAGUUGGGGGCCUAAUACCACUUGCAAGCAAGGCUGCCCCUAGGUGCAUGCCUGCGCCAGCCUCUGACCCUAGGAACCGUACUUCCCAUGUGGGCACAGAAAGGCAGAACCUCACCUUUAGGUCUCCCUCAUCCCCUGUCCAGGGUUCUGCAGGGCCUUCCUCCUCCAGGUUGGGUUCCACUCCCUUGGGGUCCAAGAGGGAAAUGCUGGUCUGAGAGGAGAACUUCCUGGAGCCAGUGCCCACCCAUCCCCCCAGGCUGGACUUUGUGUGAGCCUGUUUAGUUGGGAAAUGCAAGGCUAGCCCCUACCUCUGCCAUCCUGGAGGGCUAGAGAUAUAGCAUUCCAGUCCCACCCCUUCCCUCGAAGCUUUAGUCUGAAAGUAGGUAGUUUGAGGCUCUUAAAUUGUCCUAUCCCAGUGGUCAGAGUCCUCAUAGCAAUAGACAGAGGUAGCAUUCCAGUCCCACCCCUUCCCUGAAGAUUUAGUCUGAAAGUAGGUGGUGUGAGGCUCUUCAAUUGUCUUAUCCCAGUGGUCAGAGUCCUCAUAGCAAUAGACAGAGGGCCCUUGGUUUAUUUCACUCCAGUCCUGAAGCAGGUGGGAUACUCCCUGCUGCCUACAGUUGACUCUCCUCUCCCGUUUUUUCCCCCAGAACCCUUGUGUGUCUUCUGUGUAACUUAUAAUAAAGCUUUGUUAUUGCUUCUGUACAA
rnacentral:lncRNA from 1 species